rnacentral:tRNA from 1 species
GGGGAUUUAGCUCAGUGGUAGAGCGUUGCCUACCAAGCACAAGGCCCUGGGUUCGGUCCCCAGCUCCG